UACGAAGGGGGCUAGCGUUGUUCGGAAUUACUGGGCGUAAAGCGCACGUAGGCGGAUAUUUAAGUCAGGGGUGAAAUCCCAGAGCUCAACUCUGGAACUGCCUUUGAUACUGGGUAUCUUGAGUAUGGAAGAGGUAAGUGGAAUUCCGAGUGUAGAGGUGAAAUUCGUAGAUAUUCGGAGGAACACCAGUGGCGAAGGCGGCUUACUGGUCCAUUACUGACGCUGAGGUGCGGAAGCGUGGGGAGCAAACAGG
rnacentral:rRNA from 1 species